AACGUAGGAGACAAACGUUAUCCGGAGUUACUGGGCGUAAAGGGCGUGUAGGUGGUUUCGUAAGUCUGGCGUGAAAUUUUUCGGCUUAACCGGGAAAGGUCGUCGGAUACUGCGGAGCUAGAGGACGGUAGAGGCGUGUGGAAUUCCGGGUGUAGUGGUGAAAUGCGUAGAGAUCCGGAGGAACACCAGUGGCGAAGGCGACACGCUGGGCCGUACCUGACACUGAUGCGCGAAAGCAUGGGGAGCAAACAGG
rnacentral:rRNA from 1 species